GCUUAACACAUGCAAGUCGAGGGGCAUCAGGAAGAAUGCUUGCUUUCUUUGCUGGCGACCGGCGCACGGGUGAGUAACACGUAUCCAACCUGCCCUUUACUCGGGGAUAGCCUUUCGAAAGAAAGAUUAAUACCCGAUAGCAUAAUGAUUCCGCAUGGUUUCAUUAUUAAAGGAUUCCGGUAAAGGAUGGGGAUGCGUUCCAUUAGGUUGUUGGUGAGGUAACGGCCCACCAAGCCUUCGAUGGAUAGGGGUUCUGAGAGGAAGGUCCCCCACAUUGGAACCGAGACACGGUCCAAACUCCUACGGGAGGCAGCAGUGAGGAAUAUUGGUCAAUGGGCGCUAGCCUGAACCAGCCAAGUAGCGUGAAGGAUGAAGGCUCUAUGGGUCGUAAACUUCUUUUAUAUAAGAAUAAAGUGCAGUAUGUAUACUGUUUUGUAUGUAUUAUAUGAAUAAGGAUCGGCUAACUCCGUGCCAGCAGCCGCGGUAAUACGGAGGAUCCGAGCGUUAUCCGGAUUUAUUGGGUUUAAAGGGAGCGUAGGUGGACUGGUAAGUCAGUUGUGAAAGUUUGCGGCUCAACCGUAAAAUUGCAGUUGAUACUGUCAGUCUUGAGUACAGUAGAGGUGGGCGGAAUUCGUGGUGUAGCGGUGAAAUGCUUAGAUAUCACGAAGAACUCCGAUUGCGAAGGCAGCUCACUGGACUGCAACUGACACUGAUGCUCGAAAGUGUGGGUAUCAAACAGGAUUAGAUACCCUGGUAGUCCACACAGUAAACGAUGAAUACUCGCUGUUUGCGAUAUACAGUAAGCGGCCAAGCGAAAGCAUUAAGUAUUCCACCUGGGGAGUACGCCGGCAACGGUGAAACUCAAAGGAAUUGACGGGGGCCCGCACAAGCGGAGGAACAUGUGGUUUAAUUCGAUGAUACGCGAGGAACCUUACCCGGGCUUAAAUUGCAGUGGAAUGAUGUGGAAACAUGUCAGUGAGCAAUCACCGCUGUGAAGGUGCUGCAUGGUUGUCGUCAGCUCGUGCCGUGAGGUGUCGGCUUAAGUGCCAUAACGAGCGCAACCCUUAUCUUUAGUUACUAACAGGUUAUGCUGAGGACUCUAGAGAGACUGCCGUCGUAAGAUGUGAGGAAGGUGGGGAUGACGUCAAAUCAGCACGGCCCUUACGUCCGGGGCUACACACGUGUUACAAUGGGGGGUACAGAAGGCAGCUAGCGGGUGACCGUAUGCUAAUCCCAAAAUCCUCUCUCAGUUCGGAUCGAAGUCUGCAACCCGACUUCGUGAAGCUGGAUUCGCUAGUAAUCGCGCAUCAGCCACGGCGCGGUGAAUACGUUCCCGGGCCUUGUACACACCGCCCGUCAAGCCAUGGGAGCCGGGGGUACCUGAAGUACGUAACCGCAAGGAUCGUCCUAGGGUAAAACUGGUGACUGGGGCUAAGUCGU
rnacentral:rRNA from 1 species